AAUUCGAAGCAACGCGCCGAACCUUACCAACCCUUGACAUCCUGUGCUACUACCAGAGAUGGUACGUUCCCUUCGGGGACGCAGUGACAGGUGCUGCAUGGCUGUCGUCAGCUCGUGUCGUGAGAUGUUCGGUUAAGUCCGGCAACGAGCGCAACCCACAUCUUUAGUUGCCAGCAGGUUAAGCUGGGCACUCUAAAGAAACUGCCCGUGAUAAGCGGGAGGAAGGUGUGGAUGACGUCAAGUCCUCAUGGCCCUUACGGGUUGGGCUACACACGUGCUACAAUGGCAGUGACAAUGGGUUAAUCCCCAAAAACUGUCUCAGUUCGGAUUGGGGUCUGCAACUCGACCCCAUGAAGUCGGAAUCGCUAGUAAUCGCGUAACAGCAUGACGCGGUGAAUACGUUCCCGGGCCUUGUACACACCGCCCGU
rnacentral:rRNA from 1 species